GGGCCCAUAGCUCAACGGUUAGAGCAGGGGACUCAUAAUCUCUUGGUUGCAGGUUCGAAUCCUGCUGGGGCCA
rnacentral:tRNA from 1 species